UCUCACUCGACAAUGAAAACUUGGAAAGCGUGCGGCACCCAAGUCCUCAGGUUUUCGACACCGGGCAAGCUGAGGAAAAAGAAGUCAGAAACCAUGCGAGUCACGUACCUGGUUAUGUGUGCCAUGAUAGUAGUGGACGCGACACCGACAAAUAUAAAAUACGUUUCAUGUAAAACAAGAGUAAAUGAGUGCGGUUCAAGGAAUAAGCCAAACUGCCUCAUAAAAAAUGGGCAUCCCAUUCCCUUCUUCGAAUGCUCCCCGAGAAAUAGACCAUGUUUCUUCUCGUGGUCUAAACAAUGCCAAGAUUUCACUAGCUUUUGUUGCUCACAACGCUCGGACUACUGUGACUGCCGAUGUGGUA